UACGGAGGGUGCGAGCGUUGUCCGGAAUCACUGGGCGUAAAGGGCGCGUAGGCGGCGCGGGGAGUCAACGGUGAAAGCUCGGCGCUCAACGCCGAGUCGGCCGUCGAUACUCCCGUGCUUGAGCACUGUAGAGGCAGGUGGAAUUCCGGGUGUAGCGGUGGAAUGCGUAGAGAUCCGGAAGAACACCGGUGGCGAAGGCGGCCUGCUGGGCAGUAGCUGACGCUGAGGCGCGACAGCGUGGGGAUCAAACAGG
rnacentral:rRNA from 1 species